UGUGUUUUUAAAGUAUUUACCUCCCUCAGUUUUCAAGAGCAGGUUGAAAAGCCUCCCUGGGACAGGUGUGUCCCAGAGCCUUCCCAGGGCUGAUUACUUCCCACUGGAUACAUUUAAAUAUCCUCCCAGAAAAUUCUCAUUCCCACGUAUCACCACCCACCUCCCAAGCCAUUUAACAGAAUCAUUCACCCAGUGUUCCCUGAUUCAUGUCAGCUCUGAGCUGAGUGGUGCCAAGUGACCAGAAAGCCCUGGGCCCUGCCUCACUCAGAGCUCACUCCUAAGGGGAAGACAGACCCACAGCUCAGAAUGGACUGUGCUGGGGUGGGAAGACACAGGCAGAGGGGCCCAGACAGGAUGGGGAGAGCACAGGUGUCUGUAGGAACCCAGAAACAUCACCUGACUCGCCCUCGUGGGCAUAGGAUAGGCUGUUAGUAGGGAUUUUGUGCAGAAGGAUAGGGAGGGUUGGGAGGUUGUAUUCCACGCAGAAGAACCAGUGUGUGUGAGGGCCUGGGUGUGUGGCUGGGUGUAAUUAGGCAUUAGAGAUCUUGGCUCGUGUGUGUGGAGAGAGCUAGGGCCACCGCAGGAGCCAGAACGCAUGGAGCCUAAUUCAACUCAGUGAGGAGUGUAGACUUCAUUUUGAGGCUGUGGGGAGCCACAUAAAGGUUUUAAUCCGGGGGACAAAAUGGUCAGAUUUGAGUUUCAAAAAGAGUCUUCACAUUUUUGGAAAACACUUAAUGCUGGCAGCUGAAAAAUGAGUUAGUGUCUGCUACAGCAUCCAAGUGAGAGUGGAUGGAGGAGCCAUGCGGGUGGGGAUGAGGGGGUGGGCUGGAGAAGACCUGGAGAACUGAGACUUGGUUGCAGUUGGCUGUGCCGGGCUAAGGGUUAGGGGGGCACUCCAGCAGGGGAAGAUGGUCAUGUCAUUAACUAAUUGGUGUUCUAGAGCCUUCCCAAGGCUGAUUACUUCCCACUGGAUAAAUUUAAAUAUCACACAGAUCAGGAGAAGAUCUGAAUCAGGUGGUAAUGGCUUUGGCUUUGGGUGUGCGGGUGAACAAGACCCAGUCUCUGCUUAGGGAUUUCUUAGAG
rnacentral:lncRNA from 1 species